rnacentral:rRNA from 1 species
AUUGAACGCUGGCGGCAGGCCUAACACAUGCAAGUCGAGCGUGAAAGUCCUUCGGGAUGAGUAAAGCGGCGGACGGGUGAGUAACGCGUAGGAAUCUACCUAAUAGUGGGGGAUAACGUUUCGAAAGGAACGCUAAUACCGCAUACGUUCUGAGGAAGAAAGCAGGGGCUCGCAAGACCUUGCGCUAUUAGAUGAGCCUGCGUCCGAUUAGCUAGUUGGUGGGUAAAGGCCUACCAAGGCGACGAUCGGUAACUGGUCUGAGAGGAUGAUCAGUCACACUGGAACUGAGACACGGUCCAGACUCCUACGGGAGGCAGCAGUGGGAAUAUUGGACAAAUGGGGGGCGAAACCCCUGAUCCAGCCAUGCCGCGUGUGUGAAG